AGAGUUUGAUCCUGGCUCAGGACGAACGCUGGCGGCGUGCCUAACACAUGCAAGUCGAACGGGAUUAAGAGAGCUUGCUUUCUUAAUUUAGUGGCGGACGGGUGAGUAACGCGUAAGAAGCUGUCCGAUGCAGGGGGACAACAGACGGAAACAUCUGCUAAUACCCCAUAAGCCUAAGGGUAAAAGAAUAAUCGGCAUCGGAGGUGCUUGCGUCCUAUCAGCUAGUAGGGGCGGUAAAAGCGCACCUAGGCGAAGACGGGUAGCCGGACUGAGAGGUUGGACGGCCACAUUGGAACUGAGACACGGUCCAGACUCCUACGGGAGGCAGCAGUGGGGAAUAUUGGGCAAUGGGGGCAACCCUGACCCAGCGACGCCACGUGAGUGAAGAAAUCCCUCGGGAUGUAAAGCUCUGUUGUACGGGACGAGAGAGAGACGGUACCGUACGAGGAAGCCCCGGCAAACUACGUGCCAGCAGCCGCGGUAAUACGUAGGGGGCGAGCGUUGUCCGGAAUUACUGGGCGUAAAGCGCACGCAGGCUGAUUGUUAAGUCAGAUGUAAAAUAGUGAGGCUCAACUUCAUUAUGCGUCUGAUACUGGCAGUCUAGAGUAUGUGAGAGGAAAGCGGAUUUCCUGGUGUAGCGGUGAAAUGCGUAGAUAUCCGGAGGAAACACCCGGUGGCGAAAGCGGCUUUUCUGCCCAAAGACUGACGCUCAUGUGCGGAAAGCCAGGGAAGCGAACGGGAUUAGAUACCUCGGGUAGUCCUGGCCGUAAACGAUGGAUACUAGGUGUGGGUGUCGCAGGGGCAUCCGUGCCGGAGUUAACGCGAUAAGUAUCCCGCCUGGGAACUACGGCCGCAAGGCUGAAACUCAAAGGAAUUGACGGGGGCCCGCACAAGCGGUGGAGCACGUGGUUUAAUUCGAUGCAAACCGAAGAACCUUACCUGGAUUUGACAUACAUGUGGUAGUGAAGGGAAACUGGAACGACCUUAGCUUGCUAAGGAGCAUGAACAGGUGCUGCAUGGUUGUCGUCAGCUCGUGUCGUGAGAUGUUGGGUUAAGUCCCGCAACGAGCGCAACCCCUAUGGUCAGUUGCUAACAGGAGAGCUGAGCACUCUGGCGAGACUGCCGCCGACAAGGCGGAGGAAGGUGGGGACGACGUCAAAUCAUCAUGGCCUUUAUGUCCAGGGCGACACACGUGCUACAAUGGCCGGCACAGACGGAAGCGACUUUGCGAAAAGGAGCGGAUCCUCGAAAGCCGGUCCCAGUUCGGACUGCAGUCUGCAACUCGACUGCACGAAGUCGGAAUCGCUAGUAAUCGCAGAUCAGCCAAGCUGCGGUGAAUACGUUCCCGGGCCUUGCACACACCGCCCGUCA
rnacentral:rRNA from 1 species